rnacentral:rRNA from 1 species
UACAGAGGUCUCAAGCGUUGUUCGGAUUCAUUGGGCUUAAAGGGUGCGUAGGCGGCGCGGUAAGUCGGGUGUGAAAUCUCGGGGCUUAACUCCGAAACUGCAUUCGAUACUGCCGUGCUUGAGGACUGGAGAGGAGACUGGAAUUUACGGUGUAGCGGUGAAAUGCGUAGAUAUCGUAAGGAAGACCAGUGGCGAAGGCGGGUCUCUGGACAGUACCUGCCGCUGAGGCACGAAGGUCAGGGGAGCAAACGGG